rnacentral:rRNA from 1 species
CUCUUGGUGAAUCAUGACAAAUUGCGGAUCCUUAUGUUGCAAAAGACGAAGGACGACUAGGAAAGGCUUACCACCUAUCAGUUUUCGAAGGUAGUAUAUGGAACUAUCUUGACCUUGACGGGUAACGGAAAAUUAGGGUUUGACUCCGGAGAAGGAGCCUGAGAGACGGCUACUACAUCUAAGGAAGGCAGCAGGCGCGCAAAUUCUUCAAUAGCCAAAUGGCUGAAAGAGUGACGAUCAAUAACAAUGUGCGACCUUUAUGGUUGUGCAAUUGGAAUGACAGCAAUUUAAAGAGUUCAAGGAGGAUCAAUUGGAGGGCAAGUCUGGUGCCAGCAGCCGCGGUAAUUCCAGCUCCAAAAGGAUAUAUCAACGUUGUUGCAGUUAAAAAGCUCGUAGUUGAAUUUCGGCGGUGUUGAUUCUCUCGGUUUACCUGCGCAAGUGGGUUUGGCGGGGGAGGCACUGCUUUUUGUGGAAUCCAUCUUGCUCAGUAGUUUACUCUGCUGGGUAAGGUACCACUCAGUCACUGAGAGCAAAUUGGAGUGCUCAAAGUAGGCUUGAUAGCUUUGAACAUUUUAGCUUGGAAUGACAAGAUAUGACUUUUGUUUUAUUUUGUUGGUUAUGAAAUGAAAGUAAUGAUUAACGGGAACAGUGCGGGGGUACUCGUAUUGAAAGGUCAGAGGUGAAAUUCUUGGAUUCCUUCAAGACGAACGACUGCGAAAGCAUUUACCAAGGAUGUUUUCAUUAAUCAAGAACGAAAGCUCGGGGAUCGAAGAUGAUUAGAUACCAUCGUAGUCCGACGCCAUAAACGAUGUCGACUCGGGAUUGUUAUGUUGUUCGAUUUCAAAGAACCAUCGCAGCACCGUAUGAGAAAGCAAAGUCUUUGGGUUCCGGGGGGAGUAUGGUCGCAAGGCUGAAACUUAAAGGAAUUGACGGAAGGACACACCAGAGGUGGAGCCUGCGGUUUAAUUUGACCCAACACGGGGAAACUUACCAGGUCCAGACAUGAUGAGGAUUGACAGUUUGAAAGCACUUUCUUGAUUUCAUGGGUGGUGGUGCAUGGCCGUUCUUAGUUGGUGGAGUGAUUUGUCUGGUUGAUUCCGAUAACGAACGAGACGGGGAGAGUUUACUAGUUCGCCAUGUAACUCACGUUACACUGGGACUUCUUUACUCGACAACUUGGUUUUACCAAGGGGAAGCGCUCCGCAAUAACAGGUCUGUGAUGCCCUUAGAUGUUCUGGGCUACACGCGCGCUACAAUGACGAGUUCAACGAGUUUUUUUCUCCUUGCCCGUAAGGGUGUGGGUAAUCUUUUCAAUGCUCGUCGUGAUGGGGCUAGAUUCUUGCAAUUAUUAAUCUUCAACGAGGAAUCUCUAGUAUGUGCAAGUCAUCAGCUUGUGCAGAAUGCGUCCCUGUCCUUUGUACACACCGCCCGUCGCACCUACCGAUUGGACGAUCCGGCAAGAUGUUUGGAGUCUUGAUUUUUGUCUCUCGGGAUGAAGAUCGAGGCGAAGCUCAUCAAACCUUAUCGUCUAGAGGAAGGUGAAGUCGUAACAAGGUC